UGCCUAAGGACGGUGCUGGGCGGAAGUGACGCAUUCCAAAGUCUGUGUCCGCUUCCCAGAGGAGUUAACGACCGGGCGCACAGCACUUAAUAAACACUCGUUGCUUUGUGUCUGGAGAAACACGCCUUUCCAGAUGACAGCUGACAUACUUUGCAGAGUAUCCUGACCUAGGCGUAGUACUGUACAGCUGUUUUUAAAAAAGAGCAAACUUUAACGUCCCUAAAUCCUAAAGGCUGCAUCCUCGCCCAGGGGAGAGCUCUGCGCAAGGUGCGAAGAUAAGGACAGCCUGGCUGUUAGCCUUUCAGAGAAGGGGAUAGGAACAGCCCACAUCCAACAGUCACCCCGCCAAGUUACUCUGACGGAUUAUGGUAACUCUGAGCGCCUGGAUACCAAACAUCAAGACCACUUCACCCACUUAACUACAUGAGCAAAGAGGAGUAGAGCCAACGUGCCCAGCUCACUUCCAGGUAUCAUCAGAAAAGAGAACACAAGGAACAAAACGGGAGUUCUGGCUCGCCACACACAUAAGAGGUGGAACCCAAGUGAAGACAGAUCUGCAGGCGGACACUGCCACUGUCAAAGGAGCGUGUGAAGUCACCGGAAAACAUCUCGUAGAUCAUCCGAGCCACCACGGGAAUAACCUGUUCAUGACAGAGCACAUGAGCAUCCACGGAGGAAAA